GACGAACGCUGGCGGCGUGCUUAACACAUGCAAGUCGAACGGAAAGGCCCUGCUUUUGUGGGGUGCUCGAGUGGCGAACGGGUGAGUAACACGUGAGUAACCUGCCCUUGACUUUGGGAUAACUUCAGGAAACUGGGGCUAAUACCGGAUAGGAGCUCCUGCUGCAUGGUGGGGGUUGGAAAGUUUCGGCGGUUGGGGAUGGACUCGCGGCUUAUCAGCUUGUUGGUGGGGUAGUGGCUUACCAAGGCUUUGACGGGUAGCCGGCCUGAGAGGGUGACCGGCCACAUUGGGACUGAGAUACGGCCCAGACUCCUGCGGGAGGCAGCAGUGGGGAAUAUUGCACAAUGGGCGGAAGCCUGAUGCAGCAACGCCGCGUGCGGGAUGACGGCCUUCGGGUUGUAAACCGCUUUCGCCUGUGACGAAGCGUGGGUGACGGUAAUGGGGAAAGAAGCACCGGCUAACUACGU
rnacentral:rRNA from 1 species